ensembl:lncRNA
CGGAACAAACUGAAUUGCCAUGUAUUAUAACUUUGUACAGACAUAAUGCAGAGGUCUGAAUGAUGUUGAUUGUUAUGUUGUUUCAGAGCAUUUUGAAGGUUCUGGAAGACAUUCAGAUUCACUUGAUUGAACAAAGAUACAGAUGUCUGAAUGAGGAUUAUGGCAUUCAGUGCAUACAAGCAGCUUGCAAACUUCUAGAGAAGAUCUGCAAAAAAGAAAGGCGAACUGAUAUUCCUGUUGCUUGCAUGAACCUUGUGGCCUCUGUAUCAGACUUUGCCCAGGUAUUCCAUACUGAAAUAAUAUUAACUUUGUCUUAAGUAACUGAUAAAACCGCUACAUGUUCAGAAGAAAAUUGCUCAAUUUCUCUGACAUUUGUUCAACCCUAAGACUACACAACAAACAGACUCUUUUUCUGAGAAGACUCAUGAGUUACUCAGUGAUGCCAAGCAAACUGUCAGAGCGUGGAUUGGACAAACUUUUAAAGCCAAACUAUUGCAAAAAGGCUAUCUAUCACGUGUCAGCUUCACUCCAGAGAUUGAGGUAAGCAGAGCAAGUAUAUACAUACAAACUAACCAAUGGUAGAAUAUUUAACCUAUAUUAUUAUUAUUAUUAUUAUUAUUAUUAUUAUAUUUGUGCUUGUUCUGCUUUACAGAUGUGGAAUAAUAUUAUUGCCGUAGAUUUCAUGAGUAUGGCCUUCACUAAAGAAUGGAGAGAGACCUUCACACAGGACUUUGAGGGAAAAUAUCAACAGGAAGUUCAUCUGGACCAAAUUGAGGUUUAUUGCUCAAAGAUUGAGGAACUUAAAGGCUCCCAGCCUUUUUUGGUGGGUAGUGUGGAGAAGUGUGCUCUCCAGGCUGUUUCCACAAUAUGCCAGGUAAAGGUCUUUCACUUUGUUCUCUCUGACAACAUGAGUAAUAUAGCAUCAUAGACACAUACUGUAUAUUAGAACAUUCAAUAAAAUGAGAUUGGGUCCAAAACCUAGUCCA